UGGGGAAUAUUGGACAAUGGGCGAAAGCCUGAUCCAGCCAUGCCGCGUGUGUGAAGAAGGUCUUCGGAUUGUAAAGCACUUUAAGUUGGGAGGAAGGGCAGUAAGCGAAUACCUUGCUGUUUUGACGUUACCGACAGAAUAAGCACCGGCUAACUCUGUGCCAGCAGCCGCGGUAAUACAGCGGGUGCAAGCGUUAAUCGGAAUUACUGGGCGUAAAGCGCGCGUAGGUGGUUCGUUAAGUUGAAUGUGAAAGCCCCGGGCUCAACCUGGGAACUGCAUCCAAAACUGGCGAGCUAGAGUAGGGCAGAGGGUGGUGGAAAUUCCUGUGUAGCGGUGAAAUGCGUAGAUAUAGGAAGGAACACCAGUGGCGAAGGCGACCACCUGGGCUCAUACUGAAACUGAGGUGCGAAAGCGUGGGGAGCAAACAGG
rnacentral:rRNA from 1 species